GGGUGUGGUACCAGAUCAGUCCAAAACUUGCCUCCAAGCAUCCAAUAGGAGCACCGCACUACUUGUGGGUGAUGCUGUAUCCUAUUUGGAUAAUCGCCAGGAUACAGAGAAAUUCUGCUAUAUAAACCCAUGUCAGGAGCUGGAAAGUCAGAUCUCCGGCAAGUUCUGAAGAUACCCAGUUCUCCAGCCAGUUCUACCAGCCAUAGCUAUGCAGCUCAAUAAUCUGGACUCUGCUAAGAAGGUUCCAACUCUGCAGCCUACAAAGAAUAUGUUGUAAGAGAAGAUGAUACCUUUUCUUUGCCUGGCGUUGGAAAUUAUGACAAGUUGUUUUUCAUUGCGUAUGCUCAGUCAAUGUGUGAGAUUUUGAGAAAAGAGAAGGUAGAAGCCCAACAAAAAUCUUUGAAAAGUGCACCCAAUAUGAUAAGAGUAGUGUCUACAUUACAGCAACUUUCAGACUUUUCUGACACAUUUGACUGUCCUGUGGGAUCCAUGAUGAACCCAGUUGAGAAAUGUCAUGUGUGGUAGUUGUCAAAAUCAGAUGCUUUUCAGAGUUCCACUUUCCUGUCACGAAUGGCAAUAAAAACAAACUAUUUAAGUAUAAGUUUGAAGAAAUGAGUAUGUUAGUGGAUUGGUUUCUAAAAACAGAAAUUAGUGACAUUUAUGCAGGAUGUCAAUCAAAAUUUAAAGGUUGGUGGGGGGGUAGCUAAUUUCAGAAAUUAUGUUAUGGUACAUAUAGAAAUAAUUUCUAUUUAUGGAAUAUUGUUAUUUCUAUUUUUCUAGAACUUUUAAGUGAAUUCUAGGCAGUUCUUUAUUUUUCAAUAACCCAUUUCAACUCCUGAGCCUAAUACCAGUCACAAAUACACCCACAUUAGUAGGGGUAAAGCCCCCUGGAAGUUUGACCAUACGAUUAUUAUUGUAUGUUUAAAAAUGAGUAUUUUUGGACAAAUCUAUUAACAGGGAUGUUGCAUCCUCUACAAGAGCAGUAACUGUUAUAGAUAAAAGUAAUACUCUGUAAAACUGAUGUACGUCAGCGAGUUGUGCUGAUAGUAUUACCACUAAUGUAUCAUUAGUUGUUUCUAUGUUCAGUAAAGUUUCACCUUGGUUCA
rnacentral:lncRNA from 1 species